GAUGAACGCUGGCGGCGUGCCUAAUACAUGCAAGUCGAGCGAACAGACGAGGAGCUUGCUCCUCUGACGUUAGCGGCGGACGGGUGAGUAACACGUGGAUAACCUACCUAUCAGACUGGGAUAACUUCGGGAAACCGGAGCUAAUACCGGAUAAUAUAUUGAACCGCAUGGUUCAAUAGUGAAAGACGGUUUUGCUGUCACUUAUAGAUGGAUCCGCGCCGCAUUAGCUAGUUGGUAAGGUUACGGCUUACCAAGGCAACGAUGCGUAGCCGACCUGAGAGGCUGAUCGGCCACACUGGAACUGAGACACGGUCCAGACUCCUACGAGAGGCAGCAGUAGGGAAUCGGCCGCAAUGGGCGAAAGCCUGACGGAGCAACGCCGCGUGAGUGAUGAAGGUCCUCGGAUCGUAAAACUCUGUUAUUAGGGAAGAACAAAUGUGUAAGUAACUAUGCACGUCUUGACGGUACCUAAUCAGAAAGCCACGGCUAACUACGUG
rnacentral:rRNA from 1 species